rnacentral:lncRNA from 1 species
CUGGAAGUUCAUGUACUUUGCCUUGACUUGGUAAGUGAUCUUCAUCGCCGGCGACGGGUCGGACUGCAGCGUCGUGAUCGUCUCCACGCCGGCGGGAGGUAGCGGUGGCAGGACGCCGCCACGGGCGCGCCGCAGAGGAGCCGCAGCGGGAGGUAGCGAUGGCAGGGCUCCAGUGCCACGGGAGCGCGGCAGAGGAGCUCCGGCCGGAGGCAGCGGUGGGCGUGCUCCGGCGCCCUGGAUUUCUUGGCCUUUGAAUUCUGGAAGGACGAGGGCGAGGGCGCCAUGGGCGCGCCGCAGAGGAGCUGCAGCGGGAGGUAGCGGUGGCAGGGCUCCAGUGCCACGGGAGCGCGGCAGAGGAGCUCCGGCCGGAGGCAGCGGUGGGCGUGCUCCGGCGCCCUGGCUCUCUUGGUCUU